rnacentral:rRNA from 1 species
AGCGAACGCUGGCGGCAGGCCUAACACAUGCAAGUCGAACGGAUCCUUCGGGAUUAGUGGCGGACGGGUGAGUAACACGUGGGAACGUGCCCUUUGGUUCGGAACAACUCAGGGAAACUUGAGCUAAUACCGGAUGUGCCCUUCGGGGGAAAGAUUUAUCGCCAUUGGAGCGGCCCGCGUCUGAUUAGCUAGUUGGUGAGGUAAAGGCUCACCAAGGCGACUAUCAGUAGCUGGUCUGAGAGGAUGAUCAGCCACAUUGGGACUGAGACACGGCCCAAACUCCUACGGGAGGCAGCAGUGGGGAAUUUUGCGAAAUGGGCGAAAGCCUGACGCAGCCAUGCCGCGUGAAUGAUGAAGGUCUUAGGAUUGUAAAAUUCUUUCACCGGGGACGAUAAUGACGGUACCCGGAGAAGAAGCCCCGGCUAACUUCGUGCCAGCCGCCGCCGUAAUAC